CGAGUGAUUCCUUGGUUGUGC
rnacentral:siRNA from 1 species